ensembl:snRNA Gm55634 U6 spliceosomal RNA
GUGCUUACUUUGUAGCACACAUACCAAAACUGUAAUGAUGCAGGGGAUGAGUAUGGCCCCUGGGCAGGGAUUGCACACAAAUUCUUGAAACAUCUCACAUUAUA